UACUUUGUCGGUGGGAUCGAAGCAAAUUAAAAAACUGUACCAGAACCUGUUCUAAUUCUUGUGAUUGCUCUUUUCCAUUUGGUCGCCGUAUUUUAUGCCACGUUAUACAGAGCUGUUGCUAAAAGGAACUCAAAAACCUUGUAUCGCUGCUGGAUAAUUUUACUCUCUGUCAUCUCCUUUUUUACCUUGGGUCGCGUGCAUGGAGCUACCUGUAGGUUGUAACGACAAGCUCAUAUCGGUAGUCAGUGGACCCAUAUCACCAUCGCAAAAACACGUCCAAGCAAUCCUAUUUCCGG